rnacentral:lncRNA from 1 species
AGAGAAACUCUCCCUUUUCUCUCUCUAAAUAUCUCUCUCAUCUCUCUAUAUUUCUCGCCCAAAUUCGCGGCGUUGGUGGAGAUCGAGCUUGCGAACGCGUUGGAGGCGACGGAUUGAGCUUUCGUGCGCCCGUUGGAGCGACGUGUUUUCGUUGCGGCGUUCACAUUGGGGUAAGCUUUUGGGAUUUGGCUUAAUCCUUAGCUUUAAGAGUUCUAGUAGCCUCUAAUGAGCAUUCUUAGCAUGUUGCUCCAUUUAAUUUGGAUUAUUUGGAGGUUAUUUCAUGUUAGGGCUCAAAAAUGCUAAUUUUGAAAAUAUGAGGGUUUGAUCUAAUUUGACCCUCCGUAAACCUAAUUGCUAGGUCACUGAACGCGUUGGAAGCGACGAUUCGGUGAUUCGUCGAGCCGGUGCAAAGUUAUUAAAGAAACGGACGUUUAGGUUUCGUUUCCGCCUGGAGGGCCGAGGCGACGUCGUAAAAUCAUGGAAAUGGAUUUGAGGCAUCGUGGCACAUAACUAAAGACCUAUAAUUUUCGGGGCUGCGAAGCGGAGCACGGUUGAGGCGCAGUUGCAGUAUCGGGCCGUGCCGGAUACGGGUGCCGCGGGAGGCCGAUUGCAAGUGUCGACAAGCAAUCGGAACGCGAAUUAUGGUGGGUUGUGUUUACCGAAGCGACUAGGUCGCCCUUUUAUGUCUAAGAUGAUUAAGAAUCCACGUUGAUGCAUAUGAAUGUAAAUGAGGCAUAUAGAUGAUGCAUAUAAAUAUAAAUAAUGCAUGUUAAUAAUAUGAUGCAAAUGCUAAGUAGAUCCAUGUAAAAUGAUAUGUAUGUGUGUAUUUGGAAUAUAUGCUAGUUGCACUUAGCACUAUGAGUUCAUGCUAGAUAGUAAAUGCAUAUUGGCAUCAUAGAAUGUAUGCGAGAUGAAAUGUGGAUGUCUAUGGUAUUCGAUAUGACAAAUAGGAUGUCAGGUAGAUCGAGUGGCAUUAACCUAGUGUUAAUAAACAUAGGUCGAACAUAGAUGACAUUGAACCUAGUGUUGUUGAACCUAGGAUAAAUAACGAGUGGCAUUAAUCUAGUUGAUAGUAAACAAAAGAACAAGUGGCAUAUGUAAGUCAUAGUGUAUAUGAAACCUAUGGACUCUAUGAUGGUUGUAACCUUAGAGGAUAGGGUAUUCUCGUGACGAGGAUUGGAUCAUGCUCACGGUCUGUUUUAAAUCUUGUGAUGGAAGCCCCACACAAGUAGUGCGCUCCGGGGUUGGUCACGUGGUGCGCUCCGGAGUUGGUCACGUGGGAUUGCCUAUUUUGGGUCCCAAGGGAUUGCCUAUUUGGCCCCGCCAGACGGUCUCGGGUCCGUAGUGUGAGUUGAUUCUCCCUACGUGUCAAGAUGGCUAGUGAGCUGUAGGCGAGCCUUCGGGUAAGCCAUGAGACUGAAGUGUUCAGUUCCCAGGUAUAGGUUGGGAUAUGAUAACUGGAUAGAUCCAGGUUACGUGAAAGGUGGGAUCCAGGUUGACUGAGAGGAAUCGUCAUUUACUAUCUUCAUUUCGGUGCGAUGAUACGGGUUAGUAUUUAUAUACUUACGUACAUGUUACUUUACCUAUUUGUUGUUAGGGUAAUAGUACAGGUUUCCAUUUCUAUAAGUGAGCAAGCAAAUAGAGUAAAUAAGUAGUUNNNNNNNNNNNNNNNNNNNNNNNNNCUAUUGUUCUUUAACACUAGGUUCAUGCACUAUGCUGAACACGGUUAUGCUGAUUCAACCUAUGUUUACUAACACUACGAUUCAAUUGUCAUUCUUGUCAACCUAUGGUUAUUAACACAUAGGUUCAAUGUCGCCAAACCUAGUUAUUAACAACAUGGUUCAAUGCCACCGAAUCUAGUUGACAUCCUUAGUUUCCAAUUCUCGAGUAUUUCAUAGUCCUCAUGAUGAUAACCAUUGCUUCUAUGUAAUGUAUCUAGCAUAUAUAUGAACAUGCUUUAUAAAAACUAGCAUUCUUUACAUUACAUUAUCAUGGCAUUUCUUACAUUUCUAUUAUUACUCAAUCUAGCAUGCAUUCCUUUUAGCAUUUACUAUAUGCAUCCAUCUAGUUAUGUUUACCAACAUUACCAUUAUGUCAUUCCUUUUAGCAUAUUCUCUAUAAUGUUAACAUUCGUUAUGCCCUUUAUCUUAUGCAUUCAAAGCAUUAUUAUAUGAGUUUAUCUAGCAUCUUCUUUAAUAUGUUAAACAUUGCCAUUCUUUUCACAUUAUUAAAUUAUGGUCAAUAUGCAUUCCUCAAAGUAUUUUUAUUAUAUAGUAACAUGCAUCUAAUAUGAAAUCUCAUUUCUGCUUAACUAGAGGCGAACCUAGUGCUUUCGGUAAGCACAACCAACCUCAUUUCGAUUCCGAUUUGCUUUGUCGACAUCUUGGCAAUCGACCUCCCCGGCGCACGACCCUGUUUGGCCCGAUCCCGUGCGCGCACCACCCAAAACGGCUCCAAUCCCGAUCCGGAGAAUUAAGAAUCUUCGGAUUAUGUUGCCACGGUACUUUCAAAAUCCAUUCAUGAGUUUUACGAUAUCGGCCUCGGCCUCCAGGCAGAAACGAAAACCUAAAACGUUCUGUUUCUUUUAAUAAUUCGCAAGCUGACGAAUCGCCCAAACCGACUUCGCCACGCGGUUCGUUUUACCUAGCAAUUAGGUUUACAAAGGGUUCAAAUUAAGAUCAAACCCCAUAUUUUACAAAAACUUCAAUUUUUGAGCCCCUAGAUACAAUACCAGCAAGAAAUCACUAAAAUUAUCCAUGAUUUGAGCAACAAUCAAUCUAUUUGCAGUGCUAGAUACGCUCGUAAAUUCCAUUGUUUGGAGCUUAAAACCCAAACUAAGAAGAGAAAUGCCAUUAAAGCCUCUUAAGCCAUUACCUUUCAGAAGCUACUCUCCAAUGGCUAAAGAGAAGGAUGAAGAAAUGACCUUCCCAAGCUUCAAUCUCCACAAUUCUUUAAUUUUAGGAGAAUUUAUGAGAGGAGAAGAGGGAGGUUCUCUCUUUUUCCCUUCCAUGUGUGUGUAUGUGGGUUCAUGUGCGUGUUGGUGUGCGGCGAAGGAAGGAGAAGAAGCAACAGCUUCUUCAUAUAACUCCUCAACACUAUUGCAUCCCGAGCAAUUUUCAGCAGUUCGAAACAGUCGAGGAGCCUUUCUGAAUGUCCAUUUGGGCUCCAAAUUGAUAGGCAGGCUCGGUUUAACGUGACUGAGUAAGAAUAUAUCUUAAGUUUAUCAGUUUCGACCCUUGCUUGGUCACUGAAAAUUUGUAGCCAACUGCUAAUCUUUAUCAGUAGCAUGUCGGGAAUUUUAUGUGUUUCAUUUCCGUGGUGUCGAGAAUAGACAUGAACACUUUAAUCUAGCUUGUAUAGAAAAAUUGCUGAAUUAUACUUCGUUUUUAUAAUUUUCUGACACCUCUGCAUUUCUGCUUAAUUUAUCUGUCCCGUUUCCAACAGAAAAUUCUAGAAUCCUUUUGUUUUCAUUCCGAUUUCAGCAGUAAGUAACUUCUGACUUAUGUUUUGGAAGAAUAAAUCCCUCAACCCAAGCCCACAAAGUCCACAAAUAAAGCAUCAAAACCAAAGUCCACAAAUAAGUCCAAAACUCAAAACCCAAGAUCCAAACCCAAAGUCCACAAAUAAAGUCCAAAAACUCAAACCCAAAGAUCCAAAAUCCAAAGUCCCAUAAGUAACACCCAACCAGGAUCUACCAAACCUAUAUGCUCCGAAUUAAUUUCUUGGGCUUUCUAAAUGGGCCUCUUAUCAUAAAAUCAAUUUUACAAAUUAAUUUCAUGGAUUUCCCUCAUAGGCCUUUUAUCACGAAUUAUUUCAUGAAUUAAUUUCAUGGGGCCUUUUUUGUCAUAAAUUAAAUUCAUGAACUAGACGGGCCUUCCAAAUGGCUCAUUAUUCAUCCAAUUAAAAGGGCUCUCCAAAUGCCCUUAUCAUGAAUUAAUUUCAUCAAUUAAUUCAAUGGACUGUUACAAAUGGGCUUCUAGCAUGAAUUAAUUUCAUGAAUCAGCUUCAUGAACAGCUCGAUUUCAAACGACCGAAAAGUCGCCUAAACUAAACCAAAUUUCAAACGACCGAAACGUCCCUAAACUAAACCCAAAUUUCAAACGACCGAAAUCGUUAAACUAAACCCCAAGUCCAAACGACCGAAAAGUCGCUAAACUAAACCCAAAUUUCAAACGACCGAAACGUCGCUAAACUAAACCCAAAUUUCAAACGACCGAAACGUCGCUAACUAAACCCAAAUUUAAACGACCGAAAAGUCUGUUAAACUAAACCCAAAUUCCAAACGACUGAAAAGUCCGUUAACUAACCCAAAUUUCAAACGACCGAAAAGUGUUAAACUAAACCCAAUAAUCAAACGACCGAAAAGUCGUUAAAGUAAACCCCAAAUUCCUUGAACCAUAACCAAAUCCAUACACCAAAUCCAUGAACCAUAUUCAGUCAUGAACCAAAUCCAUACACCCAACCAUGAACUAUAUCCAAGUUCAUAACAACCAAAUCCAUACAUCAAACCCAUGAACCAUAUCCAAGUUCAUGAACCAAAUCCUACACCAACCAUGAACCAUAUACAAGUCAGAACCAAAUCCAUACACCAAACCAUGAACCAUAUCCAAACCAAAUCCAUACACCAACCCAUGAACCAUAUCCAAGUUUCAUGAACCAAAUCCAUACACCAAACCCAUGAACCCAUAUUCCAAGUUCAUGAACAAAUCCAUAACCAAACCAUAACAUAUCUAAUCAUGAACAAUCCAUAACCAAACCCAUGAACCAUAUCCAAGUUCAUGAACCAAAACAUACACCAACCCAUGAACCAUAUCAAAGUUCAUGAAACAAAUCCAUACACCAAACCCAUGAACCAUAUCAAAGUUCAUGAACAAAACCCAUACACCAGACCCAUGAACCAUAUCUAAGUUCGAUGAACCGAGUCCAUACGUCAAAUUCGAUGAACCAUAUCCAAAUUCAUGAACCAAAAUCUCAUGAGCCAAUGCUCAAAUCUCAUGAACCAAGUACCCAAACUCAUCGUGAACCCUUUUUUACUCUGGAACAUAUACCUUGAGUGAAAAUUAAAUAUUGACUACCCCUAAUACAUGUACUUAGGGGUAAGUCAAUCGCCUUAACACAUAUAACUAAGGCAAAACAUCUCCAAAUCGACAAAGUUCUAAGUCAUAUACUUAGAAUUCAGUCAAAUUAUAUCAAGUUUAUUCGAACUCUAACACAUAUACUUAGAGUUCAUUCCGACUAACCCUAACACAUAUACUUAGGCGUCUAGUCAGCCUUGUCUAGUCUAGCCUAGUUCUGACAUACUCGACACAUAUAGACGCUAGAGUGGAAGUCAAACCAUGGUCGACUACCCUAAACCAUAUACUUAGGGUCUAGCUCAGUCUUUUGCCUCUAGCAUAUAUACCUAGAGUGGAAGUCAAGUCAUGCUCGACUAACCCUAACACAUAUACUUAGCGUCUACGUCAGUCUUUUGCUCUAGCACAAUAUAUCUAGAGUAGAAGUCAAACCGUGCUCGACUAGUCCUAACCCAUAUACUUAGGGUCUAGUUAGCCUUUUGCUCGUAGCACAUAUACCUAGAUUGAAAUCCUUACCCGAUCGAGCUUCAAUACAUAGACUUAGAGUUCAAAUCCGACAUACCCCUAAUACAUAUACUGUAAGGGGUACCGGACUUCUAAAACUAUGAAGUUACGGUGUACAUUAAAUGAAGUUCCGGUGAGGCUGCGGUGGAAUGUAACAUACCGGAUUUUAAAUAUAAAAGUAAAAAUAAAUAAAAAAGUGUGAGAUACUAUUUUUAUUGGAUUUAGAGAAGUAAAACAUAAGUCAGAAGUGACUUGUGUUGAAAUCGGGGAUGAAAACAGAAGAUCUAGAAUUUUCUGUUGGAACGGGCAGAGAAAAAUUAGCAGAAAAUGCCACAGUCUCAGAAAAUUAUGAAAAUUGAGAGAGAUAAGUCAGGAAAAUUUUUUAUGAAGCUAGAUUUAAAGUUUCAUAUUAUUCUGACACCCGUAGAGUGAGAAAUAAAAUCCGAAGCUAUCUGAUAAAGAUUCAGUUCGGUACAUUGUUUUCGGUGACCAAACGCGGGUCGAAACUGAAAUAUUUAAAAUUUCUUUGGACUCUUUAAGUAAAACUGAAUAAUGACUGUCAAAUUUGAGCUCAAAACGGAUACUCUGAGAGCUCCGGCGAAAGAUAUCAGAUUUGGGAGCUGCCUGAUGUGAAUAUGUAUGCUACUUAUUGAGGGUUGACUAUAAGUAGAAGACUACUAGGCUUCUCCCCUCCCAUCAGCCGACCACCAUCACCACUACCAUACGUUCAUGGUGAAGUGAGAGAAACUCACCCUUUCUCUCUCUUAAAUAUCUUCUCAUACUCUCUAUAUUUCUCGCCCAAAUUCGGCGCGCGUUUGGUGGAGAUCGAGCUUGCAGACGCGUCUUUGGAGGCGACGGAUUGAGCUUCGUGCGCCCGUUUGGAGCCGACGUGUUUUCGUUUGCGGCCUGUCACAUUGGGUAAGCUUUUGGGAUUUGGCUAAUCCUUAGCUUUAAGAGUUCUAGUAGCCUCUAAUGAGUAUUCUUUUAGCAUGUUGCUCCAUUUAAUUUGGAAUUAUUUGCGAGGUUAUUUCAUGCUUAGCGGCUCAAAAAUGCUAAUUUUGAAAAUAUGAGGGUUUGAUCUAAUUUGACCCUCCGUAAACCUAAUUGCUAGGUCACUGAACGCGUU